GCACCUUUAGCUCAGCUGGCUAGAGCACCUGACUCUUAAUCAGGGUGUCCGGGGUUCGAAUCCCCGAAGGUGUACCA
rnacentral:tRNA from 1 species